CAAUCUGANAAACCCAAAAGAUCGAAUGGGGAGAUUCAUCGUCAGCGGCGUUGGCUUCCUUGUGGAUCGCGAUGGCCGGGACCUCGGUUCCGCGUCACGCGUCCGCUGUGGUAUGUCCGGCGUCGUCGGCGUGCACUUCUCCCCUAGUAGGACGUCGCGACCCGUUGGGUGCCGGCCUACGGCCCGGUUGGUCGACUGACGCGUCGCGUUCACGCGUGCACGCGUCAGACCACCGGUUGCCCGGCCGGCUGCCCGGCGGUAUAGAUCGCUAUAAAACGGUAUUGGGCCGCAUUAAGUGCGUUCUGGCUCGUCGGCAGGCUCGUCUCGCUCGGAUUUACGGACCUAGUGCCGUUGCCGGGCGCUUGGCGUGGCCGUUAGUCGACGAUGUCCUCGGACUGGCUCUUACAUUCGAACGGAUUUACCGGUCGGCGACGCUACUGCUUUGGGUACUUU
rnacentral:rRNA from 1 species